AUUUAAAUAGCUUAAUAAGAGCGUGAUAUUGAAGAUAUUAAGGUGAUUGUUAUAAUCUUUAGAUA
rnacentral:tRNA from 1 species